UUGAACGCUGGCGGCAGGCCUAACACAUGCAAGUCGAGCGCGAAAGGUUUUCGGACUGAGUAAAGCGGCGGACGGGUGAGUAACGCGUGGGAAUCUGCCCAGUAGUGGGGGACAACAGUCGGAAACGACUGCUAAUACCGCAUACGCCCUACGGGGGAAAGGGGGGGAUCUUCGGACCUCUCGCUAUUGGAUGAGCCCGCGUCGGAUUAGCUAGUUGGUAGGGUAAAGGCCUACCAAGGCUAUGAUCCGUAACUGGUCUGAGAGGAUGAUCAGUCACACUGGAACUGAGACACGGUCCAGACUCCUACGGGAGGCAGCAGUGGGGAAUAUUGGACAAUGGGGGCAACCCUGAUCCAGCCAUGCCGCGUGUGUGAAGAAGGCCUUAGGGUUGUAAAGCACUUUCAGUGGGGAGAAAGGUUUGUCACCUAAUACGUGAUGAAACUGAUGUUACCCACAGAAGAAGCACCGGCUAACUCCGUGCCAGCCGCCGCUGUAACAC
rnacentral:rRNA from 1 species